AUGGCGGCGCGGUCGGAGUGGAGUUUUGGGGCGGCGCUCGUCCUCUUCGGUGGUGGGGCUCCAUGGAGAUCCGCUGCGGUUCGGCCGCCUUGUCCACGCUCGCAGUUCCUCGGAGCUGCUGUGCGUGCCCUUCCAUCACCGGAGUCCGAGGAGCGGCGGAUCCGGACGUUUGAAGAAGCUGAAGGAGUUGAUGGUGGUGAGCAAGGCGAUGGCGUCGGCGGAGCAGGAUGGAGGCUCUCCGGAGCCGAGGUUCGACGACUUCCCGUCCGCAGAGGGGCUUCUCCCGAUCCAAGGUUUGAGUGGAGCAGCAGCGGCGGCGCGCCAUCGGCAUGUCCUGGUCGUCGGCGGCGGCAUCGAGAUCCAGAAGGGCUUUUUUGUAAUUUUCUCUUUGUUCUGGAUCGUUCUGUAAGAACCUUGCUCUAA
rnacentral:rRNA from 1 species